rnacentral:rRNA from 1 species
CCCGCUGAACUUAAGCAUAUCAAUAAGCGGAGGAAAAGAAACUAACAAGGAUUCCCCUAGUAACUGCGAGUGAAGCGGGAAAAGCUCAAAUUUAAAAUCUGGCGGUCUUUCGGCCGUCCGAGUUGUAAUCUGGAGAAGCGUUUAUCCGCGUUGGACCGUGUACAAGUCUUCUGGAAGGGAGCGUCAUAGAGGGUGAGAAUCCCGUCUUUGACACGGACUACCAAUGCUUUUGUGAUGCGCUCUCGAAGAGUCGAGUUGUUUGGGAAUGCAGCUCAAAAUGGGUGGUAAAUUCCAUCUAAAGCUAAAUAUUGGCGAGAGACCGAUAGCGAACAAGUACCGUGAGGGAAAGAUGAAAAGCACUUUGGAAAGAGAGUUAAACAGUACGUGAAAUUGUUGAAAGGGAAACGUUUGAAGUCAGUCGCGUCGGCCGAGACUCAGCCUUGCUUCCGCUCGGUGCACUUCUCGGUUGACGGGUCAGCAUCAAUUUCGACCGCCGGAUAAAGGUUGAGGGAACGUGACAUCUUUCGAGGUGUGUUAUAGCCCUUGAUUCGCAUACGGCGAUUGGGAUUGAGGAACUCAGCACGCCGAAAGGCCGGGUUUUAUUACCACGUUCGUGCUUAGGAUGUUGGCAUAAUGGCUUUAAUCGACCCGUCUUGAAACACGG